rnacentral:rRNA from 1 species
GGUCUUGCCUGCCCCGUGACUAUACGUUUAACGGCCGCGGUAUUUUAACCGUGCGAAGGUAGCGCAAUCACUUGUCCCUUAAAUGAGGACCUGUAUGAAAGGCACGACGAGGGCCUAACUGUCUCCUCUUCCUGGUCAGUGAAAUUGAUCUCCCCGUGCAGAAGCGGGGAUCCUUACAUAAGACGAGAAGACCCUAUGGAGCUUUAGACUUUAGAACAGCCCCCCUGACAAGCUCGCUACCUUCAUAACAUAGGUAAUAGCUUUUGCAUUUCUGUUCCCCGUCUUCGGUUGGGGUGACCAAGGAGCAUAAAAAGCCUCCAUGUGGACCAGGAGCACAGCACUACUCCUAAAAAAAUGAGCCACAGCUCUAAUGCACAGAACAUUUGACCAUUAGAUCCGGCAAAGCCGAUUAACGGACCAAGUUACCCUAGGGAUAACAGCGCAAUCCCCUUUAAGAGUCCCUAUCGACAAGGGGGUUUACGACCUCGAUGUUGGAUCAAGACAUCCUAAUGGUGCAGCCGCUAUUAAGGGUUCGUUUGUUCAACGAUUAAAGUCUU